rnacentral:pre_miRNA from 1 species
CGGAAGAAUUUAAAGACUUCAACUUGAAAACUUGAAGAUUAUGGAGACUUCAACUUGCAGACUUGAAGAAUAUGAAGACUUCAACU